CACGAACGUCACCGCUAACUAUCCACGCUAGAAAGUUCAUGACCAACAGACUACUUCCGAGGAAACAAAUGCUCACUGAUGUCCUUCACCUCGGGAAGGCAACAGUGCCUAAGACAGAAAUUCGGGGAAAACUAGCCAAAAUGUACAAGACCACACCAGAUGUCAUCUCUGUAUUUGGAUUCAGAACUAAUUUUGGUGGUAGCAAGACAACUGGCUUUGGCAUGAUUUACAAUUCUCUGGAUUAUGCAAAGAAAAAUGAACCCAAACACAGACUUGCAAGACAUGGCCUCUAUGAGAAGAAAAAAACCUCAAGAAGGCAAUAAAAGGGAACGCCAAGAACAGAAUGAAGAAAGUCAGGAGAACUGCAAAGGCUAGUGUUGGUGCUGGCAAAAAGCUGAAG
rnacentral:lncRNA from 1 species